CUGAUACUGCACACGGAGAACAGUCGGGCUCUUCUCCCAAGGAGAUCCACAAAGCGCUUGGAGCAAAAUGGCCCUUUUCAAGGGAGGUUAGAAAAAACAUCAAGCAAAGGUGUCGCAGAAAUGCCUCGCCGACGUAGGAAAGCGUUCUGGAGGGCUGCGAGAAAAAUCGACACGGAGCACUUGUGUGAAGCGGGUAAUUUGGCCCGAUAUUUCAUCAGAAGGACAAGGCCGAAGUGGCAGGAAGCUUUGAGAGCAGCCCCGCCAGGAGCUUAGUAAGGUCUUGUAUAAAAAGGACUUAUAUUUGGGAAAACAUAACAGCCAUAGCCUUUGCUAAGGGGAGGUCUAUCCUUCCUUCUCUUCCCUUCAAGGACACAGCAGAUUGCUGGGAAUGGUUUGCCCUCCGUCCCAAACAGAACGGAAUACUCUGGGACCGCCUCAAAGGAACAAGCCGGAC